rnacentral:rRNA from 1 species
CACGGAGUUAGCCGGAGCUUAUUCGUCAGGUACCGUCAAACGACCAGAUUGUUCACCUGAUCGCAUUUCUUCCCCGACAAAAGGAGUUUACAACCCAAAGGCCUUCAUCCUCCACGCGGCGUCGCUUGGUCAGGGUUUCCCCCAUUGCCAAAGCCUCUCGA